UUUAGAAGAAAUUUAGCUUUCUUUGUAUUUUCUUUCAUCUCCGGCUCCUUCAGUUUUAUGGAGGGGAGCGGCGGUGUUAGGGCUUUAGGAACUGAGUUGUUUGUCUCUGGAAAUUAGGCUAUUGAUAAGAUAGCUUCUUUGUUUGUAAAUCACAAG